rnacentral:rRNA from 1 species
GGGAGGCAGCAGUGGGGGAAUAUUGCACAAUGGGCGCAAGCCUGAUGCAGCCAUGCCGCGUGUGUGAAGAAGGCCUUCGGGUUGUAAAGCACUUUCAGUCGUGAGGAAGGUAGUGUAGUUAAUAGCUGCAUUAUUUGACGUUAGCGACAGAAGAAGCACCGGCUAACUCCGUGCCAGCAGCCGCGGUAAUACGGAGGGUGCGAGCGUUAAUCGGAAUUACUGGGCGUAAAGCGCAUGCAGGUGGUUUGUUAAGUCAGAUGUGAAAGCCCCGGGGCUCAACCUCGGAAUAGCAUUUGAAACUGGCAGACUAGAGUACUGUAGAGGGGGUAGAAUUUCAGGUGUAGCGGUGAAAUGCGUAGAGAUCUGAAGGAAUACCGGUGGCGAAGGCGGCCCCCUGGACAGAUACUGACACUCAGAUGCGAAAGCGUGGGGAGCAAACAGGAUUAGAUACCCUGGUAG